GCUCCCUUCGUCUAGCGGUUCAGGACGCCGCCCUCUCACGGCGGUAACAGGGGUUCGAAUCCCCUAGGGAGUGCCA
rnacentral:tRNA from 2 species